rnacentral:sRNA from 1 species
UCUCCUCUCUCACAAAUAAAAUUUAGCACAACAUAUUAUUUCUUUAGACAAAUAGACAUUAAGCUUAUUUAUUAGAAUCAUUAUCGUUCUCUUAAAACUAAUUUCAACACGAACACAUAAAAAAAACUGGAUUAUUAAUACCCGAACGAAAAAGAAAAAAUUGUGAGUCAAUACUCAGAUUACCUUUUUUUAUUACCCUGCUAGAAGCGCCAAUUUUGGCCAAUACAAGUACUUUAAAUUUCUGCCUAAAGGAGCUCACUUAGACAAAUCUUUUGGGCAUUUCAAAUCCUUGUCCCAAACAGAAAAAAUUGAAAUUUUCUAGCUGUAAAAUUUUGAGGCAACCCUACACUCACUAACAAUAAGAUUUAAUGGGCAUUAAUUUUCCUCACAUUUGUAUCUUAAGCACUAUUUAUCUAACUACAAACAAUACGUUUAACUUAUAUACUAAACUACACACUAACAAACAAAUAUUUUUUUUAGCUUCUUUUUUCUUUUUGUCAAAUUCGGAUUAAUUGAUGAAUUUCAUAUUUUUUCUUUUUUUUAUUUCAGUGGUAUUUCCGUCAAAGGAAAAGGAACUUCAUAUGACUUUUUUCAGCGGGAUUUGGCUUUUUUUCUUUUCUUUGAUUUUUAGGUGGGAUCUACUGGUUAGCUUCCCGGAUUGGUAAUGUUGCCUGUUCCAAGGGUUAUCCACUGGCAGUUUCCCAGGUCUUUUGGCCGUUUCCAGAACCUUUUCGUUGCCUGGAACCCCUGUGCCGCACCUGGCGAUACAAAAAUAAUUGUUGGGGAUGCCCGCUUCUUUUUCGUCCAAGUCGGAUGGCGUUGUCCAAUUGUGGAUUUAUGCGCGGCGUUAUUCCUAAAUAGAACACAAAAACUUAACACAACACAUCCGACAUAACACCA